CCUACGGGAGGCAGCAGUGGGGAAUAUUGCGCAAUGGGCGAAAGCCUGACGCAGCGACGCCGCGUGUGGGAUGACGGCCUUCGGGUUGUAAACCACUGUCGCGAGGGACGAAGCUCUGACGGUACCUCGAAAGGAAGCACCGGCUAACUCUGUGCCAGCAGCCGCGGUAAUACAGAGGGUGCGAGCGUUGUCCGGAAUCACUGGGCGUAAAGGGCGCGUAGGUGGCCUGAUAAGUAGGGGGUGAAAUCUCGCGGCUCAACUGCGAGGCUGCCUCCUAAACUGUCGGGCUCGAGCAGAGUAGAGGCAGGUGGAAUUCCCGGUGUAGCGGUGGAAUGCGUAGAGAUCGGGAAGAACAUCGGUGGCGAAGGCGGCCUGCUGGGCUCUUGCUGACACUGAGGCGCGACAGCGUGGGGAGCAAACAGGAUUAGAUACCCUGGUAGUCCACGCCGUAAACGAUGGGUACUAGGCGCCGGGGGAGCGACCCCUUCGGUGCCGUCGCUAACGCAAUAAGUACCCGCCUGGGGAGUACGGCCGCAAGGCNGAACUACAAUAGAAGUAGACGGCGUGAGACGUGCCGACGGACGACGACGAGGGAGGAGG
rnacentral:rRNA from 1 species